rnacentral:misc_RNA from 1 species
UUGUCCGCCACAUCAUCCUCGGCUGUUGUCGGCGCCUCGCUCCACGCCCGCCCUCGCCCAACGACCCUCGCCGCACCCCUCCCUGUCCUCGACAACUUCCCCUCUGGCCCCGUCCUUGCCGGCAUCGGCGCCUGCUCUCUCCGUCAUGGGGGAGGGGAAAGUGAAGGAGGAAGAAGAGCCAAGCGGCUAAGCCAGCUCGGCCGGUCGCCUCCCACCAAAAUCCCCCGAGACAUCAUCGACGAGGAGAUGGAGAUGGAGUCUAGCCCCGCAGCUCCUCGGCAUCACAAUCGUUGCCUCCCGUGUUGUGCCCUUGGAUCCACUUCUCGUGCGACGCCCCUGAUCGACAAGCACGUCGUGCGUCCGCACCGCCUCCCUGACCGACAAGCAUGUCAUGGCUCCAGGCACUUGCAGCCUCCGCGCUUCUUCGGCCAGCAAGCACGCGACCACGCCUCCCACUAUUCAGUCGUGGUGGUUCCAGGUGCUUCUUGCCUCCGUGUCUCCCUGACUAGCGACUAUGUAAGGAGGGACCUCCCCUGCCCUGGCUCCAAACAGAAUCAGGGAAUACGCUACGCCAGAAGCUGA